GAAGGUAUAGCUCAGUGGUAGAGUGCAUGACUAGCAUGCAUGGUCCUGGGUUCAGUCCCCAGGACCUCCA
rnacentral:tRNA from 1 species